rnacentral:rRNA from 1 species
CACGUAGGCGGAUCUUUAAGUCGGUGGUGAAAUCCUGGAGCUCAACUCCAGAACUGCCUUCGAUACUGAGGAUCUCGAGUCCGGGAGAGGUGAGUGGAACUGCGAGUGUAGAGGUGAAAUUCGUAGAUAUUCGCAAGAACACCAGUGGCGAAGGCGGCUCACUGGCCCGGUACUGACGCUGAGGUGCGAAAGCGUGGGGAGCAAACA